CACUUCUCCAACUCCAUCAACAAGUCCUCCACUGGUCUAUGAGUACCUGACUACUAUCGAGUUGCAAACCACAAAUGUUACAGUGAUAGAGGAACUGCGGAGCAUCCUGGAUAACAUCAGCUACCCCUUCCCCAUCGACAGCAACAUACUGAUCUCGGAGGUCAACAUCACCACAGUUUGCUCUCCAUUCGGGGCUGGGUUCCAAUGCACAUGUGAGGAUCCGUAUCGCUGGCCAUGUGACAAGUGUCUUCUGCAUGGGUCAUGUGACAACAUCACUGAUGAGACGUGUGGAUGCAUCAAUGCCCUUCCUCCUGAUGAAGAAUACUGCCAGCUCUCCCAACAAAUCC